CUCUUCAAUACGGCUCCAGCGUUCCAAUUCAGAAAUGAUCAACUCGGCUGCCUCUGACAGUUUCCACGCUUACCUCCUUUUCCCGUCUGCUUUCUCUCUCCUCUACACCUUUGCUGUCCCUCCCUCCCUGUCUGCUCUCGCUGAACCUUCCGCUUAACUUCCUGUCAUUCCUGUAACCCCUCGACUCCCCCCUCCCGUCCCCUCGUAGGUGAUACACCGUCGCUUCUACUCUAACCCCGCCAAAGACUCUCCCCAGAAGGUUUGUGAUCGAACGGCGGUUCUUCUCCAGGGAUUCUAGCCAGCAGCCUGUGGGCAGUCCCGCGGAGAAACGACGAUCGUACACCCCGCAGUACAUGAAGAGCCUGCACGCCGACUGAACACAGGCAACACCCCCCUCCCCCAGCCCAGUGACGGGAUCGGGAAGGAUUCUUCGGAUAAAUGAUGGCGCUGCUGCCUUGAUGUCAUUUCAAGGAGAUUUACGAUAUUUCGGACGAAGGCCGAAAAAAAGGGAGAAAGAUGUACAAAAAAACAUGGCACUGCAUGUGGUUUCAAUUCUAAUUUGGAAUGUUAAGGAGGCGUUCCAUAUUACAGUGUAAAUUUACACCGACAGAAGGUUGUCCAAGAGCGUCAUCAUCUAACCGGCAAAACGACGGGCUCCCAAACGCCAAAGCGGGAAAUCUUCGUGGCCUACGAAGCUCUGAGCUGGCUUGGCAUUUUGAAACUAAUUUAUUACUCGCUGAUGUUCUUAGCAGCGAUGUCAGUAGUCUGGGCAGUGAUAAGGUUGAACAAGUACCGAUAACUAGCAGUGGGUUCUCCGCGUGAAGGGAUUAGGAGAUCUAAUGCAACCGCACGAGGUUCGGGCGCUGGCACAGCUGUCAAAAUUAAGCAAUGACCGUGACAAUGCCUCCCCCCCCCUCCGUAGCAAUGUGAUAAUUAAAGCCAAAUAAACUGAAGCUCCGGUGAAGGUUCAACUCAAACAUAUUAAACAACACGGUGCGCAGGAAAUGUCUUUUUAAAGGCACCGGCAAGUGAGGGCGGUAUUUAACAAAUCUAAGCCACAUCCUAGUCAAGUUCAAGUACAAACUUGUAUGAGAAAAAAGAACCGAGCCCACAAGAACUUUCUCUUGUGAUGCUGCCGUCGACGUUUUUGCCACAUAAGUGGAUCACAAACUAUGACGGCCGUCGUCACAAAUGAUUUCGUUUUAAAGUGUUUAAAAACUCUCAGCGAGCGAAACAAACUGAGCGAAACAAACUGAGCCAACUGUGAUCCAACCUCUGAAUGCUAAAAUAAAUCAAAAUAUACUCCGCCCCCCGCACACACUGAUGAUAAGGAGUAUACAUGAAGAUGUUCAUUUGAACCAAAAGAAAAGCUAUUGUCUACCCAAGAUAAACUUUACACGCGAAAUCAAAAAGAGGCCAGUGUUUGUGAACGAAAAAAAAAAUUUACGCAUGGAUCAUUGAGUUAGGACUAGAGACGAUACAAAUCGAUCACGUCAUGGUGGUGGUGUGACCAGAUUCAAAGAUCAUGCUGUUUACGUAAAAUUUCUGUCAACCCCGCUGUCCCGGUAUAGUAUAGUAGGCCUAGGCCGUUUUCCAAUUCUCAAUUCGUCUCCGUCUGAGGAUGCGUCCCCGAAACCAAUCCCCGAUUGUGGGCCUGAAGCGUUUAAAUCAAAUUGGAUUACUGUAAGUUCUUGC